UAUCAACAUGUACAAUCACACACACUUUUUGAGGUCUUUUUGGGUUGUAACGGGGCUUUGGUUUAGGUAGGGUAUGAAAUUGGAACAACGGUUUUUGGGUCUUUUGGUUCAGAGUACAUGAAAUCAUUCUCUCACUACGUUUCUUUCCUAUUAUUCCUGUAGGGUUUUGUAAUCCUCUUUUCCUUUUAUCUAUAGUGAAUGUAGCAUUUUUCAAAAGUUGUUCUUUUAUUGUUUUUCGCUUUUCUCUUUCUUUCUUUUCAUGUUGUUGUUGUUUUUUUUUUUUUUUCUUUUUCUCUUCUUUUUUUUUUCUUUUUUUUUUCUUUCUUUUAUACGACAUUCACUUACUAUUCACGUACUGCAAAGCUACCCCAAACUUAAAGGUUGCUAUUCCAACAGCAACCCCAAACUUAGAUAGAAACGUAGAGAUGAAAUCAAUCCUCACAUACUCUGAACA
rnacentral:lncRNA from 1 species